UGAGACCGAAAGCAUAAAUUGGGCCUUGUGUAUGCCAAUCCACCCGGCCUCUGGCUUGUCUGUCUCAUAACAGCCUAUUCGGUUGCUUUCGCAAAUGAAAGCAAGCACUACCAGGCAGGCACCAGCCGACAGACUGGCCAAACUUCUGUGAUUAAUUCGAACAAGAUAUUUUUCUUUUUUUUUCUCCAUUGAUAUGGUGGGAAGCGGUAAUGAUGGACAACUUUGCUCAUAUUGGAGGAUUUCUUUCUGGCUUCUUCCUUGGAUUUGUGUUUUUAAUCUGCCCCUGGUUUGGACGGGUUAACCAAAAGAGCUGUCCUCCAGGAUACAUUGCACCUCCAGCUAAAAUCUAAGCACAAGGCAUACCAUUACGUGCUGUGGGUUAUGUCACUGAUUCUUUUAAUUGUUGGUCGAGUGAACUUGAGAGUCAACUGAACUUGACAUGCAAAAGCUACGAGAAAAGCAACAUGUAUAUGCUGUCAGAACAUAGCUCGUCCCAGGUUGAGCAACUAUGUUCUCAGCUGCCAUAUGACAGCUGUAAAUGAUACAUAUUGUUCUGUAGAGAGCAUUCUUCUUUGUCACAAGGUAAUCUUAACUUUCAUUCCUUCAGAAAUUAUUUUGUACACCUUGAUCUUGAGGAUUUUUAUAAGGACAAUAAGUCAUCAGCUU